CUGUGCAGAAAUGCAGACCAUAUCUCACCAUAUCUCCAAUAGUUCCUUUGGAGGAUCACAAGAUCUUCAAAUUAUUGAGAAGUGCUAUCCCAUGCAGAAAAGUAUAUUCUUGACGUUGACAAAUGAGCAGGUUUAUUCUUAACUUUCUAAUAUAUAGGUGUUGAUCGUGUUCGUUUCCUUUGAACUUGAAUGCCAAUAAAGAUGGCUGAAUACAAUCUAUGAAUUACCAAUGUCGUUUCAUGGUUUUCAAUUACUGUUUAUUAACUUGUCUAUAAGAAUGAUUUGCUUGGAAUAAGAAAUACGUUUUAGUAGGAAAAUUACAAUGUAAAUUGGCUACUUCGAUUGAGUCUUUGUAUAUGUAAAACCAUUAUUCUAAGAAGUUACAUUUUGCAUAACUUGGGGGCUUAUCGAAAUCCCUAAUUUGCUGCUAAACUUGAAAUGGAGUGACUGCUGCCUGCUGUUGGUUUUUCGAGCCACAUUUGGAGUUGGGUUUGUUGGUAAGAAACUGCUGCAUUUUGGAUCAUUUGGCUGCUGAACUUCAGGGGCAACCCCCUGAUUGCAUACUAAAGGACGCAAAAAACACCAGCAAGCUAAGUUAUUCAAGUUUGCUUGGGAGCAUUAAUCCUAUGAGCAGAUCUAGAGUUUAUCAAGCUUUGGCAGAAGAAGAUAUUGAAGCUGAUGCCAAGGGCAAUGAUGUUGAUCUCAGUCUGAUAUUGAUCAAUGUGAAGCAUAUUACGAAGCUGCUAGGGGAACAAGGAAGAGAAGAAUAUAUGGUCUUGGAUCUCAAGCACAAAGUUAUCUGCUUUUUGUUGGAAAGAACAAAAUUAUGCACUAACAAUACUUGAUGGAUGUGUGGGUUCUUUUGGUAGUUGACAGCUUGGUGUUGUCGGUGUUUUGGACUUAACGAUUAGGAUUUCGCUAUCUAUUUUGAAUCUUUUUUAUAAAUAUUAUUUUAUGUGAAUGUCAGUUAUUUUUAAGGGUA